rnacentral:rRNA from 1 species
ACUCCUACGGGAGGCAGCAGUGGGGAAUAUUGCACAAUGGGCGCAAGCCUGAUGCAGCCAUGCCGCGUGUGUGAAGAAGGCCUUCGGGUUGUAAAGCACUUUCAGUCGUGAGGAAGGUAGUGUAGUUAAUAGCUGCAUUAUUUGACGUUACCUACAGAAGAAGCACCGGCUAACUCCGUGCCAGCAGCCGCGGUAAUACGGAGGGUGCGAGCGUUAAUCGGAAUUACUGGGCGUAAAGCGCAUGCAGGCGGGCCUGUUAAGUCAGAUGUGAAAGCCCGGGGCUUAACCUCGGAAUUGCAUUUGAAACUGGCAGGCUAGAGUCUUGUAGAGGGGGGUAGAAUUUCAGGUGUAGCGGUGAAAUAGCGUAGAGAUCUGAAGGAAUACCAGUAGGCGAAAGGCGGCCCCCUGGACAAAGACUGACGCUCAGAUGCGAAAAGCGU